UCAUUAUACCUUAAAAAAAUAAGGCCUUCAAAACUGCAGAUAAAUUCACUAUGAAAAUAAAGUGAAUUUAAGUUAUCUAAAAAACUAAAUUACAGUUCAGUUAAUUCCAAUUUUUGUCAACCUCCUAACAAAAAAUAUUUGUAAAAGAAAAAUUAAAUAAGACUUUGAAAAGCCUAGGCUUCAAAUGUAUUUUGCUCAUUUGAUAAUGUAGGGACUGGGUUCGAGUACUUCUAUUAUUGGAUGAAAGGUCUUAAGCCCAACUAGCCCAAUACAAUAAAUUUGUAGAUAAUGAGUUUAAGAACUAGGUCUUAGUCCAAAUUACAAUUACUAGACACAGUUAUGUAUGAGUUGAGUAACAAGGAUAUGGGUUAAAGCAUGAAAUUUUGUCCUCGGGCGUUUCGUUCGAGGAAUUUAGUAUUCUUCUUCUUCCUUCAGUACUAGGUUACCAAGGUUUCCAAGAUCAUGCAGACUGCUACCGUCCUCUCCUUUUUCUCUCCUCCUGCUCUUUCUUCUGUGAUCCCCCAUUCUUGGAGGGUCUCUCACAUUAUAUACUUCUUUCCAGUCGAUCUUAACCCUCCACUUGUUGAUCAUGCAGGUCAUUACUUGAGUGCUCGUCCCAUCAGCCACCUUCCCAAACCCUUUGUGAGUUGCGGCAACCAAGGCCGCACUGUUCAAGGGUCAUUUCCUCAUUAAUGCGGCCAGAACGUUAGUUGGGUGCAUUCAAUGUGGAGGUGACAGUUUCUCCUUGAAUUGUUCCUACACCAUACACCCAUGGGUAUCCUAUUGUACUUGUCCUUCUCCUGGGGGCGCUUUGGGAGGCUGCCUUUGCCAGCAUGCUGUUCUUUUCUCCUGGGCUUUGGGAUGCCGUGAGCAAGAUCGUCCUUGGUCAUUACUCGAGUGCUCGUCCCAUCAACCACCUUCCCAAACCCUCUGUGAGUUGCGGCAAUCAAGGCCGCAUUGUUCAGGGGUCAUUUCCUUAUUAAUGCGGCCAAAACGUUAGUUGGGUGCAUUCGAUGCGGAGGUGACAGUUUCUCCUUGAAUUAUUCCUACACCAUACACCCAUGGAUAUCUUAUUGUACUUGUCCUUCUCCUGGGGACGCUCUGGGAGGCUGCCUUUGCUGACGUGUUGUUCUUUCCUCCUGGGAUUUGGGAUGCCGAGAGUAGGAUUGUCCUUGGCAACGUUUCUAGGCUAUUUGGGCUUUCUUUAUUCGUCCUCGGCCAUUUCUCCCUCCUCGGCGUGGGUCUUGGGCUUAGUAUAAAGUAGGCUGGGAUUGUCAAAUUCUUUGACCCCACAGAUAAUAUUUGUUUAGAAUUUUUUUAACUCCGUGAUAUGGUCUAUUGUUCUUUAUUAGAAGAGUUAAAGUUGAUAUC